rnacentral:rRNA from 1 species
GACGAACGCUGGCGGCGUGCCUAAUACAUGCAAGUCGAGCGGAUGGAAGGAAGCUUGCUUCCUAAAGUCAGCGGCGGACGGGUGAGUAACACGUGGGCAACCUGCCCCUAAGAUCGGGAUAACUUCGGGAAACCGGAGCUAAUACCGGAUAUGAUCAUCCCUCACAAGAGGGAUGAUGGAAAGGCGGUUUCGGCGGUCACUUAGGGAUGGGCACGCGGCGCAUUAGCUAGUUGGUGGGGUAACGGCUCACCAAGGCGACGAUGCGUAGCCGACCUGAGAGGGUGAUCGGCCACACUGGGACUGAGACACGGCCCAGACUCCUACGGGAGGCAGCAGUAGGGAAUCUUCCGCAAUGGACGAAAGUCUGACGGAGCAACGCCGCGUGAGUGAAGAAGGUUUUCGGAUCGUAAAACUCUGUUGUCAGGGAAGAACAAGUACCAUAGUAACUGAUGGUACCUUGACGGUACCUGACCAGAAAGCCACGGCUAACUACGUGCCAGCCGCCGCAGUAACAC